UACACUCCUGCGGGAGGCAGCAGUGGGGAAUUUUGGACAAUGGGCGAAAGCCUGAUCCAGCAAUGCCGCGUGAGUGAAGAAGGCCUUCGGGUUGUAAAGCUCUUUUGUCAGGGAAGAAACGGUGAAAGCUAAUAUCUUUUGCUAAUGACGGUACCUGAAGAAUAAGCACCGGCUAACUACGUGCCAGCAGCCGCGGUAAUACGUAGGGUGCAAGCGUUAAUCGGAAUUACUGGGCGUAAAGCGUGCGCAGGCGGUUUUGUAAGUCUGAUGUGAAAUCCCCGGGCUCAACCUGGGAAUUGCAUUGGGGACUGCAAGGCUAGAAUCUGGCAGAGGGGGGUAGAAUUCCACGUGUAGCAGUGAAAUGCGUAGAUAUGUGGAGGAACACCGAUGGCGAAGGCAGCCCCCUGGGUCAAGAUUGACGCUCAUGCACGAAAGCGUGGGGAGCAAACAGGAUUAGAUACCCUGGUAGUCCC
rnacentral:rRNA from 1 species